rnacentral:lncRNA from 1 species
GGGUAGGCAGGUCGGAGGAGGGAGUUGGGAGGAAAGCGGCGGCGGUGGCGGCUUCAACAGCAGCUCUUGCCCUUAAGGAACAAUGAAACACAAAGAUGGUGCAGACCCAGGCCCUGCUUUGACUGGGAGAAAGAUGCAUUCAGUUGACUAAAACUUGAAUGUCAGGAGAAUUCAGUCACACCCAAAGCAGGAGGUAAUAAGACACCGAAGUGAGGACUUCACAGGCUGCUUGGGAGAAGACAAUCAUCCGUGGGCUUGGGAAAGGGAGAAAUGCCUACUGAGUUUAGGGAAUUGCUUGCUGGAAGAAAUGAUGAUGCGGGAGGCCAGAUGCGCAAGAUGGACACUCGGCUCCUCCUUCGUCCCCGCCUCUCCUCGCUUCCAGGGUAGCAGCCUCAACAAGGGAAACUAUUGUUCCAGUGGAGGCUGCGAGGAUGUCGGUGAUUUACGCGCCGAGCUGUAGCUGCAAAAGGACAAGGGCAAGUGCCGGCCCGACCUAGGGCCCACCGGUCUCUGGCUUGCUCUUGUGAGUAGGUGCACCCUGCCCGCUUGUGGUGGCCUCAGGGGUAAGAAAUCAGGACCCACCCAGUGAGAGAAAUAACCCAAGCUGUCAGCAACGCGGAAAGAAAUGGGCUAGCAACCUCUUAAAGCAUCCUCACGUACUGCGGCGAUGACUCUGUGCACAGACCAAGGAAGGAGAGAGGCCGCGGAAGUCAGCCACAGCAUGUUCCGAAGAGAUGAUUGGAAGAUGGAAGUGGAGGGUUAAAUAAUGAAAUGCAGCUAACAUUUCGGAAAGUUUCUAAAAGUUGUACAACAUGCCCUACAGCUACUCUUUAAAUCUCCAAAUCAAAUGAGUUUCAGGUGGAGCCUCUGGGAGGUGAUGAGGUCAUGAGAGUGGAGCCUCAUGAAUGGGAUGAGCACUCCUACAAAAAGGAUUCCAGAGAGCUCGCUUGCUCCUUCCACAGUGUGAGGACACAGAGGGAAGGCUCUGUCUAUGAAUGAGAAAGUGGGUCCCCACCAGACAUUGAAUCUGCCGCAUCUUGAUACUGGACUUCCAGUCUCCAGAACUGUGGGCAAUAAAUGUCUGUUGUUUAUUACCUGUCCAGUAUCUUUGGUAUUUUGCUAUAGCAACCCAAAUGGACUAAGAAAACACCAGAGGCCAUACCUAAUAAAAAUAUUGACAUCACAA